rnacentral:rRNA from 1 species
UACGUAGGGUCCGAGCGUUAUCCGGAAUUAUUGGGCGUAAAGAGCUCGUAGGCGGUUUGUCGCGUCUGCCGUGAAAGUCCGGGGCUCAACUCCGGAUCUGCGGUGGGUACGGGCAGACUAGAGUGAUGUAGGGGAGACUGGAAUUCCUGGUGUAGCGGUGAAAUGCGCAGAUAUCAGGAGGAACACCCGUGGCUAAGGCGGCUCUCUAGUACGGUACUGACGCUGAGACGCGAAAGCGUGGGGAGCGAACAGG